AUACGUAGGUGGCAAGCGUUGUCCGGAUUUACUGGGUGUAAAGGGCGUGUAGGCGGAGAUGCAAGUCAGGAGUGAAAUCUAGGGGCUCAACCCCUAAACUGCUUUUGAAACUGUAUCCCUUGAGUAUCGGAGAGGCAGGCGGAAUUCCUAGUGUAGCGGUGAAAUGCGUUAAUAUUAGGAGGAACACCAGUGGCGAAGGCGGCCUGGUGGGCGGCAACUGACCGUGAGGCGCGAAAGCCUGGGGAACAAACAGGAUUAGAGUCCCUGGGAGUCCACGCCUUAAACGAUGAAUACUAGGUGUUGGGGGACUGACCCCCUCCGUGGCGCAGGUAACACAAAAAGGAAUCCACCUGGGGAGGACGAACGCAAAAUUUAAACUCAAAGGAAUUGACGGGG
rnacentral:rRNA from 1 species